UCAACUACCCUACGCUAUAUGCUACCAACUGUGGCAUUUUUUAGAUGACUUUAUAUUAAAAUCUUCUAUUAAAUUACCAACUGUGGUAUGUUGACAAAGUGGAAGCGUUUUUUAUCCGCGAUCUUAGUAAGUGUGAUCGAAUCUGAAAAAAAAAUUAAAGUGGACAAAGGAACGGUCUAGGAUGGAGUAGUAGUCUGUGAAGUGACUACAACUCUAUGGACUAUCAAUCAAAUGUCAGAAUAUUUGACGACAACAGAAAACACAUAAUUUAUUUUUUUGUCUUGCAAGAUAAAAUCAUUAAAUGAAUUACAAAGAAAAUAAUAUAAAACUAGAAUUCUCCAAGAUAAAUAUUCAAUGUUACAUAACCUCUUUAAGGUAAAUCUCCAACUACUCGCGCAUACGAAGUAAGACAGAAGGAAAUAAUAAACGUACCUUAAAAAUCUAGGAAAAACCACCACAGGAUGACCGAGCGAUACACAACCAAACAAACAACACCAGCCGUUGAUGAAAUGUCCAGAUUAAAUGACCCAAUCCAUCAAUUGUCCGAUGUAAUAUUCAAAACGUGCUCGCGUUGCGGGCACGGACGUGUAAAAUUAUUAAUUUUUAAUAAAUUUUAUAACUGA